rnacentral:rRNA from 1 species
UGCCUAACACAUGCAAGUCGAGCGAGAAAGUCCCCGCAAGGGGAUGAGUAAAGCGGCGAGCGGGUGAGUAACACGUGGGCAACCUGCCCCUCAGUCAGGAAUAACCCCGCGAAAGCGGGGCUAAUGCCCGAUGACACCCCCUGGAGGCAUCUUCGGGGGAUCAAAGGGGGCGAGCGCAAGCAGCUCUCGCUGAGGGAUGGGCCUGCGGCUGAUUAGCUAGUUGGUGGGGUAACGGCCUACCAAGGCAACGAUCAGUAGCCGACCUGAGAGGGUGACCGGCCACACUGGGACUGAGACACGGCCCAGACUCCUACGGGAGGCAGCAGUGGGGAAAAUUGCGCAAUGGGCGAAAGCCUGACGCAGCGACGCCGCGUGGGUGAUGAAGGCCUUCGGGUCGUAAAACCC